rnacentral:lncRNA from 1 species
AGUGAAGCCGGCUGUGACUCUGUCCCAGGCAGGUGCUGUGGGUUGUGUGGAAACUACAUUCAGACACUUCUGAUUUCAAAGCAAACUCUGGAUUCUGAGCAGAGCCUUGAGCUGAUUGCAGCAGUGCUCGUGAGAGUGACGUUGAAGAAUAUAAGUCUGCAGGCUAGAAUUAUGAGCAACCCAGCUGGAAUUUACAUGGCCUCUAGGAAUCAGAACUAAGGGCUUGCUUCUGCAGAGAAAGCUCUUUAACCACCAACCAAUUCAUUGCUGCAUUCCUAGAAGUAGCUGAGUCCUUUAAACUCAGGUUCUGGAGACUAAGGACGAUGCAAGCACCUCACCAGCUGGUCUAGAUUUCCAGGGCCAUUCUGCACACUUUCAAAACUUCCUGCGGUGCUGCAUAGACUGUGCACAUGAGAACAUUCUUAGGGUUGAGAACAUCUCCUUGGAAUGCAAUCUGUUUUGAUAGCAUGUGGAGACUGAUUUGAUAACUCACAGCAGCACACAUGAAUGUUUCAUUCAUUUUUCAUGGGGACAGUAACUUUUUUGGCUUACACAAUGCCCGGCUGCAAAGAGCAGGCCACAUCCAUCAGAGUGACAUACUGCAGAGCAAUGUGUUGCUUGGCACUGGAAGCAUGAAGAUCCGCCCUGUCCUAGAUGCACAGAGCACAUCAAAUAUGGAAGCAAAUGUUACUUGUGAUAGCUGUGAGAAUGUCCUUAGGGGUCUUCUAAACCCAGAGGCACACCCUUGGCUUGGAGAGUUAGACAUCAACUCUCUUUUUAAAAUUAAUUAAUUAAUUAAUUUUUUACAUUUCAUAUUUUAUGCCCCAGCCCCCCCCCCUUGUCCAACCUCUAACUGUUCCACAUCCCAUACCUCCUCCCCACCCCACCCCCUGUCCAACUGACCUCAAAACUUCCUGGGGCCUUCAGUCUCUUGAGGGUUAGGUGCAUCAUCUCUGAAUGAACACAGACCUGGAAGUCCUCUAAUGUAUAUGUGUUGAGGGCCUCAUAUCAGCUGGUGUAUGCUGCCUGUUUGGUGAUCCAGUAUUUGAGAGAUCUCGGGGGUCCAGAUUAAUUGAGACUGCUGGUCCUCCUACAGGUCCUCAACUUCUUUCAGCCUUUCCUAAUUCAACAACAGGGAUCAGCUGCUUCUGUCUGUUGGUUGGGUGUGAAUAUCUGCAUCUGGCUCUUUCAGCUGCUUGUUGGGUCUUCUGGAGUGUGGUCAUGCAAGGUCCCUCUUUUUGUGAGCACUCCAUAGCCUCAGUAAUAGUAUCAGACCCUGGGACAUCCCCUUGAGCUGGAUCCUACUUUGGGCCUAUUGCUGGACCUUCUUUUCUUAAGGCUCCUCUUCAGUUCCAUCCCUGUAAUUCUUUCAGACAGAAACAAGUAUGGGUCAGAGUUGUGACUGGGGAAUGGCCUCCCUCUCCCUCAUUUGAUGCUCUGUCUACUUGCUGGAGGUAGGCUCUAUAAGUUAUCUCUCCCUACUGUCGGGCAUUUCAUCUUACGUCCCUACACAUCAACUCUUAAUGUGGAAAAAGUCCAUGCUUCACAGCUCCACCUGUAAGGUCCUGCAGAUUUAGGAUUAUUAUUGCAUUGUGCUAAAUUGGGUCCUCCCAGCUCAAUGCAAGCCAUACAGAGAAUGCACCAUGGCCUUUGGUAAGGAGUCUCUCUGGUGUGUAGAGAGCACACAUUUUCCUGUGUCCUGUUCCUUUCUCCAUUCAUUAUCUUGUUCAAUCAACUGACAAAUGUACAUUGAGAAAAGAGGAUUGAAGUGAACCCUAUUGGGCUUCAGGGAUAUAAAAAGGAAGGAGACAUAGCCCAUUCACAGAAGCUGCACAGCCCAGGAGAGGUGAAGCAUCUCUUUGCCGCAAUUCUGUGGGCUUCCUUCAGUGACAUAAGGCGAUGUCUGCAGACAGGGGUAGAUUUCUGCUGUUAUCUAGUGGGUUGAUGCUGGGCUGCUACAGUUUACAUACCAGCCCCUUAUAACUAGGACUCUAUGUAGCCAAGACUUGAAAUUCAAUAAUGAAUGCUACUAGGUAAUUGUGGCUUGGAAGGUCUUUCUCCCUAUGUCCUGAUCUCUUCUUCAUUUCCAACUUCUUGACAAAAAAAAAAAAAAGGGAAAGUUUCACUUUAAGCUCUUUGGGCUCCUCCUAUGUGAUGCUACCUGCUCCUCCUGUCUGAUGUGGUCAGUAUGGUCUCUUUCUGGUCCUUGCCCACCCCCACCACUCUGCUGUCCCCCUGUGAGUCAGACCUCCACAACAGACACAGUCUGUCUACCCUCUGCAGCUGUCCCCUGCCCCUGAUCUUUGACCUUCUGUUAUGUUAUUCCUGUUCUCUCUGGGUUGGAAAUUCCCUAUCCCUGUUGCUAAAUGGUUAUGAGUCCUAUGGUUAAUCUCAGAUGGCUUGUGUUACAUGGAAGAUGGUUCUUAGGUAAAAAUCAGAAGAUAAAUUUACUUUUAUCAGUUUAGUUUUUUUCUUUUCUGUGGAACCUCCAGCCCGAGAUCUGAGUGUGUUUGGUGGAUCCCACCCAGACCAUGAUUUCCUCACUCCCAGGCAGCCCAUAAUAUAUAGGUCCUUAUAUACCUUUGGACUUUCCCUCCAUAAUGACAGGGUCCUUAUGCAACAUACCUUACCCAUAGUUAAGUAACUGAAAAACUCUUAAUUCACGACUCUCUCUAAAAUUUAGCUGACCAUUCCAAAUUCAUAUAAUAAUUCAAAUAGAUUUCAUGAUGUUUUGUUUGUAUUUAUAUGUUCCUAUACAUCUUUGUUUUCAUGUUCAUGUGCAUGCACACAUGGAUGGAGGCCAGAGGACAACCUUGAGUGACCCUCCCCAAGCACUAUUUACCUUCUGUUUUGAGACAAGGCCCCUCACUGACCCAAGAAUUAUCAAACAGGCUAUACUGGCUGGCCAAAGAGAUCCAGGACUCUCUCUAACUCUACACUUCCCUAGUGCAGGGGUUAUAGGCACAUUCCACCACUCCUAGCUUUCUUUCGGGAUU